rnacentral:rRNA from 1 species
CUUGGGAAGAACGAAAGGUGCAAACCAUAUGUAAUAUUUAUAUUACAAUAGUAACUCCGUUACAUAAAGUUCUAGAUAGAUAUUUGAUUAUGACAUAAUUUAUCUAUAAGUCUUGACUAAAUCACGUGCCAGCAGUCGCGGUAAUACGUGGAAGACAAGUGUUAUUCAUCUUUAUUUGGUUUAAAGGGUACCUAGACAGUUAAUUAAGCCUAAGCAGGAACUAAUUAUACUAGAGUUUUAUAGGAGAAGGCUAGAACGGUGAGUGGAGGGAUAAAAUAUGUUGAUACCACCUAGACACUGACAACGGCGAAGGCAACCUUUUAUGUAAAAACUGACGUUGAGGGACGAAGGCUCAAAUGAAAGAACAGGAUUAGAUACCCUAGUAUUGUGAGCAGACAAUGAUGAGUGUCAUAGACAAGUAUACUAAUAUAAAAACUAGGUAUUAUAUAAUUAUUUGUGUAUAAAUGAAAGUGUAAGCACUCCACCUCAAGAGUAACAUGGCAACAUAGGAACUGAAAUCAUUAGACCGUUUCUGAAACCAGUAGUGAAGUAUGUUGUUUAAUUUGAUGAUCCACAAAGAACCUUACCACAAUUUGAAUAAAUCACAGGAGUUGCACGGCUGUCUUCAGUUGAUAUCGUGAGAUUUUGGUUAGUUCCAUUUAAUCAACGUAAACCCUUACUUUAUAAAAAAAAAAAGUAGUUCACCAAUUUAUUGGUUAAGAUA